AGGACGAACGCUGGCGGCGUGCUUAACACAUGCAAGUCGAGCGGAAAGGCCCUUCGGGGUACUCGAGCGGCGAACGGGUGAGUAACACGUGAGUAAUCUGCCCUUAGCUCUGGGAUAGCUCCGGGAAACCGGGAUUAAUACCAGAUACGACCACUUUAGACAUCUGCCGUGGUGGAAAGAAUUUCGGCUAAGGAUGAGCUCGCGGCCUAUCAGCUUGUUGGUGGGGUAACGGCCUACCAAGGCGACGACGGGUAGCCGGCCUGAGAGGGCGACCGGCCACGACUGGGACUGAGACACGGCCCAGACUCCUACGGGAGGCAGCAGUGGGGAAUAUUGCGCAAUGGGCGAAAGCCUGACGCAGCGACGCCGCGUGGAGGAUGAAGUCCCUUGGGACGUAAACUCCUUUCGAUCGGGACGAUAAUGACGGUACCGAGAGAAGAACGCCCCGGCUAACUUCGUGCCAGCAGCCGC
rnacentral:rRNA from 1 species